rnacentral:tRNA from 2 species
GGGUGAUUAGCUCAGCGGUAGAGCGCAUCCUUCACACGGAUGAGGCCACUGGUUCGAGACCAGUAUCGCCCACCA